UGUCCUGUGGUGUAACUGGCAACACACUGGAGUUGAAUCCGGGGUUUUUGGUUCGAAUCCUUACGGGACAACUA
rnacentral:tRNA from 1 species